rnacentral:miRNA from 10 species
GUCACCGUCAUAUCCACAGUCU